CAGCCGCGGUAAUACAUAGGGUGCAAGCGUGUCCGGAAUUAUGGGCGUAAAGAGCUCGUAGGUGGUUAGUUACGUCGGAUGUGAAAAUCAGGGGCUCAACCCCUGACCUGCAUCCGAUACGGACUAGCUAGAGUUUGGUAGGGGAGACUGGAAUUCCUGGUGUAGCGGUGGAAUGCGCAGAUAUCAGGAGGAACACCGAUGGCGAAGGCAGGUCUCUGGGCCAAUACUGACACUGAGGAGCGAAAGCGUGGGGAGCGAACAGGAUUAGAUACCCUGGUAGUCCACGCCGUAAACGGUGGGCGCUAGUUGUGCGAACCUUCCACGGUUUGUGCGACGCAGCUAACGCAUUAAGCGCCCCGCCUGGGGAGUACGAUCGCAAGAUUAAAACUCAAAGGAAUUGACGGGGCCCCGCACAAGCAGCGGAGCAUGCGGCUUAAUUCGACGCAACGCGAAGAACCUUACCAAGGCUUGACAUAUACAGGAAUACGGCAGAGAUGUCGUAGCGGUAAAACGUCUGUAUACAGGUGGUGCAUGGUUGUCGUCAGCUCGUGUCGUGAGAUGUUGGGUUAAGUCCCGCAACGAGCGCAACCCUCGUUCUGUGUUGCCAGCAUUUAGUUGGGGACUCACAGGAGACUGCCGGGGUUAACUCGGAGGAAGGUGGGGAUGACGUCAAAUCAUCAUGCCCCUUAUGUCUUGGGCUGCACGCAUGCUACAAUGGCUGGUACAAACGGCUGCGAUACCGCAAGGUGGAGCGAAUCCGAUAAAGCCAGUCUCAGUUCGGAUUGGGGUUUGCAACUCGACCCCAUGAAGUCGGAGUUGCUAGUAAUCGUAGAUCAGCAACGCUACGGUGAAUACGUUCCCGGGGCUUGU
rnacentral:rRNA from 1 species